rnacentral:lncRNA from 11 species
GCGGUGCUCUUGGAUAUUCUAAAACUAACUUUCCUGGCUGCUGUAAAUGUGAACGUGGGCCUGGGCUCGUAUGGCACCUGUGCCUGCCAGUUGGCAGAAAUGCCACGUAUGACUGAAGCAGAUCUUAACGUGGCUCUGCUGGUGAAGAUCACCUCAGCGGCGGGAAACGAAUACACCAUCCCCAGUUCUGCAACCUCCAUUGCUCGUCCCAUCUUGUCCCGCUACAGUUUCUGCCAAGCUAUCCAUCCAGAAUUAAUUAAACUAUUUGUGAUGCUCUACACAAAGAAACUCGAGCGAGAAUUUACUUGUACUCCUGACAGAGUGAGUCGUCCAUUUAAAAAAAUAUUGUAAUACACGGCUUUUUAUUUUAUUUUUUUAUUGUGUCAGAAGCGAAUUGAGAAUAUACAGCAAGUCGCUUCUGAUGUGAAAGAAUCGGCCGUCUGCAAGGACGUUGCCCAGGGGAUGCCCG